UAGACUCUGUCCUCCUCAAAAAAAAAAAGUAAGCGGAAAAAUACAGUAUGUAACCUUUAGGGAUUGACUUUUUCCCUCUGCAUCAUUCUCUUGAGAUUCAUCCAAAAAAUCAGAAAUGAAACAUUGCAGAUACAGCUGAAGCCUGCUCCUCCUCCUUGUGCCUCUGUCCUCCUUCCCCAGAAGAUUCUUGUCAGGAGGCACAGGUUACCCAAUGCAAGGGUCCACAGGCACUUUCACCUAAGUUUCUGCCACAGCUCCACAUGAAGCCAAGUAUGAGAAUGAUGCCUGUUUCCUGCCCACCCAGAGCUUGUCAUCAGAUGCAUGGCUAAGUGGUAAAGCCAUUUCCUUCCUCCUGACACAGCCAGAAAUUUCAAGCCCUAUUUGCAACAUAGCAGUGUGAAAUCUCUGGCAGGUGCAGAUGGCACGGCUGCAAGUGCCAGAACUCUAUGUGGACUCUUCAGGGGAGGAAGACACUUCUAUCCCACUGGGCAGGAAACUCACAGUGGUUGUGUCACAGUCCUGCCUGUACCUUUGCAUCCAGAGGAAACUGUGAGGCUUCGUUGGGGCAGAGACUGUGGCAGCAAAAGGAAGAAUUUGCCAGAGCCACUUACAACAAAGGAGGAUGUGAUCUCGGGAAGUUUGCACCGCACCUCUCUCCCUUCUGGCACAUACAACUUCAUAUUCCCUCUUGGAUUCAUAACAGCAUAGUUAAUGACCUAUAUCUAAAAGAUGGCUGGACCUAUAGACUGAAGAUUCACACCCAUCCAAAACCAUCAGCAAAGCUUUCAAUUCCUAUGGGAAGUGCAAGCCUGGGUUCAUAUAGUGCUCCCUCUUAGUCUAACUUGCUAUAAAUUUUACCUGAACAAUAGAAGAGCUAUUUGCAGAGUCUCUGGAGGAACAUAUUGCAACCAUAAAUAUUAAUGAUAAUGAACCUGGAAAGACCAGCUUAAUAAAAUAGCUGAAAAUGAAUUUAUACAUCAUUAGCAUUAUGAGCUCCCAAAUCUUCAUCUCUGAACAGCUGGACUAUCCCAGUAGAGGAUGAGCAGGAACCCACGUAGAUCUCCAGAGCGGUGCCUCCUGCAGACCCUUUUACUGGGUAUGUUCUGGCUUUUGAAAUACAUUACCUAUUCUCUUCUAAAGCCAAAAUUACUACAGACUAAGGCUGGACACUUUGUCUCCCCUCUUGGUCUUUGAAAAAUUACAAUUAUCCCCAAUUUGUGUUUGAUAUGGGGCAAAAUAUCUCCACUCUUUUCGUGUUAGAAAA
rnacentral:lncRNA from 1 species